UUAAUGUGUUAUGGGCUUAGUAAAAAACAAAAGCGUGGCCAGUUUUCGCCGUCACCUUCUUCCAGAAUUUAGGGAUCAUCAACUCCUCCAAAAUCUGAUUACGGUUCUAACAAUGGAGGUACUGAGAGGUCGUGUGAGAGGAGACUUCGUGAGUACUCUAUGUGUCGAUGUCUGAUCGUGUCGUUACGUUAUCGAUUCUUCACCACAGAACCGUUACAAGUUGCUUUGAUUCAACGUCAUUAAUUAUUUCCUACCCACUACAGCCAGGAUCUCUAUUCAAUGAAUCCUAAUCUUCUUCCAUACGGUGAUUCUCCACCUAUAUAAGGGUAAGGCUUCAUCCUUUGAGUAUCAUCCUCCCAAUUUCUAAUAUCAAAAGAAUUUUUUUUUUCCGGGUAUAAUGGCUACCUCAUCUAUCCUACUCUCUAAUUUGAAGGAUGUAUGUUGUUCUUCAAUGGUAUCGGUGCAGGUCAGGUUUUGGGAAGCAAGAAACGUGGCGAUUAUACGACGGCAAGCUGGGAAGCUGUGUGUUCUUUUGUAGACGCCGUCAAUGAACAAAGUGAUGUAGGUUGCUCUUGGUCGUUCCUCUUCUGAUGAAAUCCAUCAUGCCAACUUCAAAUCUUCCAAGGUUGUGUUACUCUGCUUCUUACAUUUUUUUUGUGGUCUAAAGCUUCUUACAAUAUUUAUUUUAUAUUACUUGGUAUUUUACAUAUUUUUUUGGAAUAUUAUUUCAUCUGCGACAUGGUGAUGAUGGACUGCUUAUUAUUGAUAUGCCAAAGGAAGAGGUUGAAAGAUGGAACAACAACUAAGAUAAUAAGAAGAAGAGAGUAAAGGGAUGAUGAGGAAACACAAGUCUUUUGCAGAGCUAUAAUGAGAUUUGUCAGAUGGAGAGACCAAAAAGAAUAAAGUUCAUGUACAUGGCUAACUAUCAGACUUGAGAACUCUGUGUUCUUUACUUCUUCUAUACAAAAAUCCAUCAUUUCCUGUGGCAUGUUACAAUAUAAACCCAGUAUGAGUUUCACCACGAGUGUUGUGAAGUGCUUGAACAGGAGAACAAAAGAUUAGCGUGAAGUAGGAAUCUAUCAUGCAUCUGACCCAACUCUCCUCCUUAAUUUACCCUAGGUCUCUGUACUUCUCCAACCUAUCUUAAUUUACCCUAGGUCUCUGUACUUCUCCAACCUACAUAACCCACCCACGAUCUCACCUCUGGUAAUCACACCUUUCAUUCUAUUCGUUUCCAUUAUAUCGUGUUAGCCAUUAAUAAAUUUCAAAUUUUGAACACUGCAAAUCAUA